CCUACGGGUGGCAGCAGUGGGGAAUAUUGGGCAAUGGGCGCAAGCCUGACCCAGCAACGCCGCGUGAAGGAAGAAGGCUUUCGGGUUGUAAACUUCUUUUCUCAGGGACGAAGCAAGUGACGGUACCUGAGGAAUAAGCCACGGCUAACUACGUGCCAGCAGCCGCGGUAAUACGUAGGUGGCAAGCGUUAUCCGGAUUUACUGGGUGUAAAGGGCGUGUAGGCGGGAAAGCAAGUCAGAUGUGAAAACCAUGGGCUCAACCUGUGGACUGCAUUUGAAACUGUUUUUCUUGAGUACUGGAGAGGCAGACGGAAUUCCUAGUGUAGCGGUGAAAUGCGUAGAGAUUAGGAGGAACACCAGUGGCGAAGGCGGUCUGCUGGACAGCAACUGACGCUGAGGCGCGAAAGCGUGGGGAGCAAACAGGAUUAGAUACCCGUGUAGUC
rnacentral:rRNA from 1 species